AGAGUGAACGCUGGCGGCAGGCCUAACACAUGCAAGUCGAGCGGCAGCGCGGGGCAACCUGGCGGCGAGCGGCGGACGGGUGAGGAAUGCAUCGGAAUCUACCCUGUCGUGGGGGACAACGUAGGGAAACUUACGCUAAUACCGCAUACGACCGAGGGGUGAAAGUGGGGGACCGCAAGGCCUCACGCGAGUGGAUGAGCCGAUGCCGGAUUAGCUAGUUGGUGGGGUAAAGCCCACCAAGGCGACGAUCCGUAGCUGGUCUGAGAGGAUGAUCAGCCACAUUGGGACUGAGACACGGCCCAAACUCCUACGGGAGGCAGCAGUGGGGAAUAGUGGACAAGUGGGCGCAAGCCUGAUCCAGCCAUGCCGCGUGUGUGAAGAGGCCUUCGGGUGUAAGCUACGUUUGUUACGGAAGAAGUCGUUAGACGGGUUAAUACCCGAGUACGG
rnacentral:rRNA from 1 species